CGAAAGCCUGACGGAGCAAUACCGCGUGAGGGAGGAAGGCCUUUGGGUUGUAAACCUCUUUUCUCAGGGAAGAAGAUCUGACGGUACCUGAGGAAUAAGCAUCGGCUAACUCCGUGCCAGCAGCCGCGGUAAUACGGAGGAUGCAAGCGUUAUCCGGAAUUAUUGGGCGUAAAGAGUCCGUAGGUGGCAAUUCAAGUCUGUGGUCAAAGACUAGAGCUUAACUCUGGAAAGGCCAUGGAAACUGAAGAGCUAGAGUUCGGGAGGGGUAGAGGGAAUUCCCAGUGUAGCGGUGAAAUGCGUAGAGAUUGGGAAGAACACCAGUGGCGAAGGCGCUCUACUGGACCGAAACUGACACUGAGGGACGAAAGCUAAGGUAGCG
rnacentral:rRNA from 1 species